AUGUGCAGGACUGUCAGCAAAACUGGUGGGAAACUUGGACUCGUAGAGCUUUUUAGGGCCAGAAGAGCUGUUCCCAUCACCUCGGCCACGGUUGCUCUCUGCCUCUCCCUGAAUUCUGCUGCUUUCUUUCACCCGUCAGACAACCCCGGGCGUAAACAGAAAAUCCUCCAGUCCUUUAAUUUCUGCAAGAUUCAGAUGGGUGCAGGAUCCUGGGGGCCUUCGCCGCUCUCCCCGCGGCUCGUCCCCAGGCUCCCAGCUGCUCCCCGCCACAGCAGAGAUGCUGAGCUUACGGGGGAGCUCGGGCGCGAUGGUCUGCCCAGGUUUGGCGGCACGCAUCCUGCCAGCCGGGACACGCGCACGCGUUUAGCUGUGCAGGGCGCGCUGGUGCUGUGCAGCCCGGCACGCGGGCACUCGGCUCCUGCGAGCGGCAGGAGGAGAGGCAGGAGAGCCCCGUCCUGCAGCACGGGCGACGGGCACGGUGCCGGCGACGUGCUCCCACCCCGCGGGGAGCACCCAGCCGGGUUUCCCCUGCGGCACCUCUGCGACCUGCGCGCGCUUUCCGGGAGACACCCGGAGCCCCUCCACACGUCGCAAGGGUCUCGCAAGAGCGUUUCCAGCCCUGGCCCGCGGUCCCUGUGCGCUCGGGGCCCCUGCCCAGCCGCUGGGGCAGCGCGGCGAAGGGACCGUCCCCAACCCCUGCCCGCUAGAGCUCCGCCACCCGUCCGUCCCUCGCUGCGGUGCCAAGCCAGGUCACGGCAUCCCGCAGCCGGGCAGAGCAGGCUGAUGCUCUCCGGCUUUUGCAAACCCAGCGCAAGGAGCAGCCGGGGCCGCCCGUGGGCAGAGCCCGAGGGGCACCGCGCUUGGCCCCUCUCCUCGGGACCAGCCCCGCGGCUGCGGCUGAGCAGGGUCGGAGUGCAGAGGAGCAGGGGGCUGCGAGGGGCCGAGCGCCGGCGGGGAGAGGCCGGGGGGGGGAUGCAAACACGCGGAGCUGGUUGGAGAGGAGGCAGAUGCCGGGGGAGGAAAGGGGUGGUGAUAAAAUGGCUGGUCCGGAAAAAGAGCUCUUUGUUCCUUUCUGCUGAUGCCGGAGGCAGGAUGCACCCAGUGACACUGGGAGGCUGGGAAAAGGGAAUGAGUUUGCAGGAAAACGUGGAGGCUGCGUGGCCCUCGUGGCUGCGGUGCGCGCGGUCGGCACGGGAAGCCCCAGGGCGCCGCUCCGCUCGGGGCCGCACGGUCCCGGCAAUCGGGGCCGUGUGCCCGUCUCACCCGUGCCGCGGCGAUGGGACACAGCGGAGUCUCUGGCAGGGAAAAGGAGCCGCCAGACCGCCUGGCCUGGCCCACACGGGCGCCAGCGCGGCCAAGGGACCGGAGCCGGUGCUGGGGGCUCCUUCCCUUCCCGUCGGCACACGUGGGCACCGGGAGGGCUCUGGGCGAAGCGAGCCCCUCGGGGGCGAGAUGGCCUCGGUUUGCAAGAGCAGCGGAGUCCCUGCCGCGCCUGGGAGGGCUCACGGCACCGGGAUUGCAUCGGGGACGGAUGCUGCAUCAGGCCUCGUCACCGAUAACGUCCCUCUACCUCCACGGCCCAUUAACUCCUCGGAGAGAGGAAUUCCCCGCUGA
rnacentral:lncRNA from 1 species